rnacentral:rRNA from 1 species
UACGAAGGGGGCUAGCGUUGCUCGGAAUCACUGGGCAUAAAGGGCGCGUAGGCGGAUCUUUAAGUCGGGGGUGAAAGCCUGUGGCUCAACCACAGAAUUGCCUUCGAUACUGGGGAUCUCGAGACCGGAAGAGGUGAGUGGAACUGCGAGUGUAGAGGUGAAAUUCGUAGAUAUUCGCAAGAACACCAGUGGCGAAGGCGGCUCACUGGUCCGGUUCUGACGCUGAGGCGCGAAAGCGUGGGGAGCAAACAGG